GAUGAACGCUGGCGGCGUGCCUAAUACAUGCGAGUCGAACGAAACUUCUUUAUCACCGAGUGCUUGCACUCACCGAUAAAGAGUUGAGUGGCGAACGGGUGAGUAACACGUGGGCAACCUGCCCAAAAGAGGGGGAUAACACUUGGAAACAGGUGCUAAUACCGCAUAACCAUAGUUACCGCAUGGUAACUAUGUAAAAGGUGGCUAUACUACCGCUUUUGGAUGGGCCCGCGGCGCAUUAGCUAGUUGGUAGGGUAAAGGCUUACCAAGGCAACGAUGCGUAGCCGAAUUGAGAGGUUGAUCGGCCACAUUGGGACUGAGACACGGCCCAAACUCCUACGGGAGGCAGCAGUAGGGAAUCUUCCACAAUGGGCGAAAGCCUGAUGGAGCAACGCCGCGUGGGUGAAGAUGGUCUUCGGAUCGUAAAACCCUGUUGUUAGAGAAGAAAGUGCGUGAGAGUAACUGUUCACGUUUCGACGGUAUCUAACCAGAAAGCCACGGCUAACUACGUG
rnacentral:rRNA from 1 species